rnacentral:rRNA from 1 species
GUGGGGAAUCUUAGACAAUGGGGGAAACCCUGAUCUAGCCAUGCCGCGUGAUCGAUGAAGGCCUUAGGGUUGUGAAGAUCUUUCGCUGGGGAAGAUAAUGACUGAACCCAGUAAAGAAGCCCCGGCUAACUCCGUGCCAGCAGCCGCGGUAAUACGGAGGGGGCUAGCGUUAUUCGGAAUUACUGGGCGUAAAGCGCACGUAGGCGGACCAGAAAGUUGGGGGUGAAAUCCCGGGGCUCAACCUCGGAACUGCCUUCAAAACUCCUGGUCUUGAGUUCGAGAGAGGUGAGUGGAAUUCCGAGUGUAGAGGUGAAAUUCGUAGAUAUUCGGAGGAACACCAGUGGCGAAGGCGGCUCACUGGCUCGAUACUGACGCUGAGGUGCGAAAGCGUGGGGAGCAAACAGGAUUAGAAACCCGUGUAGUCC